AGGCCAUGGUGAGGACAUUCUUGGAGUAGAUCCUUGAAUCUCUCCAUAAUUUUGAAAAAGGACUCACUAAGCUUUUGCCUAAACUGACGGAUAACACUUCUAAGUUU